rnacentral:rRNA from 1 species
UGGGGAAUAUUGCACAAUGGGCGCAAGCCUGAUGCAGCCAUGCCGCGUGUAUGAAGAAGGCCUUCGGGUUGUAAAGUACUUUCAGUCGGGAGGAAGGUGUCAAGGUUAAUAACCUUGGCAAUUGACGUUACCGACAGAAGAAGCACCGGCUAACUCCGUGCCAGCAGCCGCGGUAAUACGGAGGGUGCAAGCGUUAAUCGGAAUUACUGGGCGUAAAGCGCACGCAGGCGGUUGAUUGAGUCAGAUGUGAAAUCCCCGGGCUUAACCCGAGAAGUGCAUCUGAUACUGGUCAGCUAGAGUCUUGUAGAGGGGGGUAGAAUUCCAUGUGUAGCGGUGAAAUGCGUAGAGAUGUGGAGGAAUACCGGUGUCGUAGGCGGCCCCCUGGACAAAGACUGACGCUCAGGUGCGAAAGCGUGGGGAGCAAACAGG